rnacentral:rRNA from 1 species
CCUACGGGAGGCAGCAGUGAGGAAUAUUGGUCAAUGGACGAGAGUCUGAACCAGCCAAGUAGCGUGAAGGAUGACUGCCCUAUGGGUUGUAAACUUCUUUUAUAUGGGAAUAAAAUGUUCCACGUGUGGGAUUUUGUAUGUACCAUAUGAAUAAGGAUCGGCUAACGCCGUGCCAGCAGCCGCGGUAAUACGGAGGAUCCGAGCGUUAUCCGGAUUUCUUGGGUUUAAAGGGAGCGUAGGGGGAUUGUUAAGUCAGUUGUGAAAGUUUGCGGCUCAACCGUAAAAUUGCAGUUGAAACUGGCAGUCUUGAGUACAGGAGAGGUGGGCGGAAUUCGUGGUGUAGCGGUGAAAUGCUUAGAUAUCACGAAGAACUCCGAUUGCGAAGGCAGCUCACUGGACUGCAACUGACACUGAGGCUCGAAAGUGUGGGUAUCAAACAGGAUUAGAUACCCGGGUAGUC